AGAUCACGGUGCAUCUAUCUCCAUGUCGUUUGUUGACAAUAGGUGUUGGAAGUCAUUCAUAAUUGCUUCUAAAGUAUUUCUACAUCUUCAUCUGGAUUCACCUUUACUUCCGGUUCAUUCAUAGCUGCAUCAAUGCCCAUAAGUGGCUGGAGCUUCACCAAAGGUACGCAUAAGUGGUUGAGUUCAUCGAAAGCUUGAGUUAGCGUGACAUCAUCUUCAGCCUUAUAGAUCAUGUGACUAACAGCCAGCAGAAACUGGGGAGAAGGAAGGCGAUGUUCGUAUUGGUGCCAUCCACAAUGCCUAUUUUGCUUGUCUCUGAAUAUAAAUUUUUGUUUUUCCCCGAUGAUAUGACCUUCCUCUUUAAUCUCAAUCUUCUUGUCAUGCAUUCACCUCCCCUUUUCUUGUUCCUUAUGCCCAUAGUUCGCUUCAUCAUGUUGGAUGGUCCUUUGUGUUUUCUGGUUACAAAGUGUACCAAUAUUCUCCUUUGUGAAAGUAGUCUCUCGAUUGGUGGAUGAGCAAAUCAGGAUGAUCAUACACGUAUAGGUGUUUCAUGAGACAGUCACCUCCCGCAGUUCCGGACUUUGUCUCCCGCCAUGCUCCCACGGCCCGCUUCCAAAGAGGAAUAAGAGCUAAACGGAACUGAGAGGAGAACCGAAUGAAUGCAAGUGGUCCGGGUGCUCAACUUUACUUUUAGUAGAUCGUGAGAACUAGAAGAUUCCACCUUUGGAAAGCGCCUACACCUAAUGGCUUAACCUUAUGACCUCUUCGUCAGUGGGAGAAACUCGAAACCAUUUUGGUAUAACUUGGCCGUUCAUACCUGAAAAGCAAAUUAUAGUACAUAAAAAUCAAUGUAAAAACAUGACAUUGUAGAGUCAAAAUAAAAGUCGAGGAAACAGAAGCAAGUAUUCAAGACACAUAAGAGCCCU